UACGUAGGGGGCAAGCGUUGUCCGGAAUCAUUGGGCGUAAAGCGCGUGUAGGCGGCUUCGUAAGUCCGUUGUGAAAGUCCAGGGCUCAACCCUGGAAUGCCGAUGGAUACUGCGGAGCUAGAGUCCGGAAGAAGCGAGUGGAAUUCCUGGUGUAGCGGUGAAAUGCGCAGAUAUCAGGAGGAACACCAAUGGCGAAGGCAGCUCGCUGGGACGGUACUGACGCUGAGACGCGAAAGCGUGGGGAGCAAACAGG
rnacentral:rRNA from 1 species